AACUAAUUAUAGCUCACAACUCAAACUCCACAAAAUUAUUUCUAAAACUAAAACAAAACAUUUUAAAAUGACUAAAGUAUAGGCGAUAGAAAUUUUACCUGACGCUAUAGAGAUAGUACCGCAAGGGAAAACCUGAAAGAAAAUUUAAAGUAGGAAACAGCAAAGCUUAACCCUUGUACCUUUUGCAUAAUGAUUCAGCCAGUAGAUACUAGCAAAAAGAAUUACAGUUAGAUUACCCGAAACCAGACGAGCUACCUGCCAGCAGUCAACAGGGCAAACUCAUCUAUGUGGCAAAAUAGUGAGGCGACUGUCAGGUAGAGGUGACAAGCCUAUCGAGCCUGGUGAUAGCUGGUUAUCCAGAGCAGAAUUUUAGUUCUAAUUUAAAUCUAUUAAACAAAAAAACAAAUUACAAUGUAGGUUUAAAUAAUAAUCUAAAAAGGUACAGCUUUUUAGAUAAGGAAUACAAUCCCUAUUAGAGAGUAAAUCAUAAUCAACCACAAUAGUUGGCCUAAAAGCAGCCACCAAAUAAGAAAGCGUUCAAGCUCAACAGUCUAAAUAGUUAAUUCCACAAUAAAGAUUAAAUCUCCUAAAACUAAGACUGGAUUAUUCUAUUCACAAAUAGAAGCAACACUGCUGAUAUGAGUAACAAGAAAAAUUUUCUCCCCGCACACGUGUAUAUCAUGAACGAAUAGAUCACUGAUAGUUAGCAAAACAAACAUUUAUUAAAAUACUAGAUCCUAACAUUAAUUGUUAAUCCAACACAGGGGUGCAAACAGGGAAAGGUUAAAAGAAGUAAAAGGAACUCGGCAAACAAAAACCCCGCCUGUUUACCAAAAACAUCACCUCUAGCAUAAAAAGUAUUAGAGGCACUGCCUGCCCAGUGACUAUAGUUUAACGGCCGCGGUAUCCUGACCGUGCAAAGGUAGCAUAAUCACUUGUUCCCUAAAUAGGGACUUGUAUGAAUGGCCCCACGAGGGUUUUGCUGUCUCUUACUUCCAACCAGUGAAAUUGACAUCCCCGUGAAGAGGCGGGGAUAAAAUAAUAAGACGAGAAGACCCUAUGGAGCUUUAAUUUACCAACUCACACUAUUUCUUGAUAAACUCCCAACUAGGGAUAAACUUAUUUUAACUGAGUUAGAAAUUUAGGUUGGGGUGACCUCGGAAUAAAAAUAAACCUCCGAGAAAAAUUCUAUUGAGACUGACAAGUCAAAAUUAUAUUUAUUACAUACUGAUCCGUCAACGGCGAUCAACGAAACAAGUUACCCUAGGGAUAACAGCGCAAUCCUAUUUAAGAGUCCAUAUCGACAAUUAGGGUUUACGACCUCGAUGUUGGAUCAGGACAUCCCAAUGGUGCAGCAGCUAUUAAUGAGUUCGUUUGUUCAACGAUUAAAGUCCUACGUGAUCUGAGUUCAGACCGGAGUAAUCCAGGUCGGUUUCUAUCUAUUAACAAGUCUCUUCCAGUACGAAAGGACAAGAGAGACAGGGCCCACUUAAAAUAAGCGCCCUAACAAUAACAGAUGAAUUAAUCUUAAUCUUAACACACCCAUAAACAUUCAAGAAAAAAAUCAA
rnacentral:rRNA from 1 species